rnacentral:lncRNA from 1 species
GUGUGAAGCUGAUACUAUUGCACCAGACUGAUAGGUAAACUGAAGCCAAGACAAACAGAGUAAAGUAAAUAGGCCAAAGUCAAAAACUCAGUCACGGUUAGAGCCCUGGGCACAUUCCCUCCUCCUAGGGGCUUGGCUGUUUGGGCUAUAACCCAGCCUUGAUAAGCAGCUGUCAGGCCUUGAAACUGUUAUGAGUAAAGAGCGCUUUGAGAAAAAGCUGAAGGAAGCCCUAGAAGGAGCCCUACCCUUCUCUUGGGAAAUACGUUUAAGUUGAGGCACUCAGCCUUAGUCCCUGUUGCAGAUAUGUGCCUGGUCUUCUAUCUCCCUGAUUCUGAGCCUGAUCCUGACCUGGCAAAUUGACUUUCUGGCUUGACCUCAGACCUGCCUCAUCAGCAUGGACCUGUAAGGUUCACAGCGGACCUUGGUUACCGUCAUGGACUUGUUCUGCUCUUCCUGCUCAGAUAUCAUUCACAUAUCAAGAGAUACCUAGCACUGACUCACUCAGAGAGCAAGAGUUGUAUGAUGAAAAAUCUGGGAUGGAUGCCGCUCCAAAAGUACAGAGUCCUUUGAGGGCACAGUCCUGUUACUGAGUAUAUCUCCUGCUCCAGCAUAGUGCCACGGUCACUCUUCCAUCCUACAUCAAUGCAGUGCAUUUGAUCACAGUUAAGACUUCCAGGAUCUUAAUGCU